rnacentral:rRNA from 1 species
UAAUACGUAGGGUGCAAGCGUUGUCCGGAAUUAUUGGGCGUAAAGAGCUCGUAGGCGGUCUGUCGCGUCGGCUGUGAAAACUCGGGGCUCAACUCCGAGCUUGCAGUCGAUACGGGCAGGCUAGAGUGCGGCAGGGGAGACUGGAAUUCCUGGUGUAGCGGUGAAAUGCGCAGAUAUCAGGAGGAACACCGGUGGCGAAGGCGGGUCUCUGGGCCGAUACUGACGCUGAGGAGCGAAAGCGUGGGGAGCAAACAGGAUUAGAUACCCUGGUAGUCCACGCCGUAAACGUUGGGCGCUAGGUGUGGGAUCCCUUCCACGGGUUCCGUGCCGCAGCUAACGCAUUAAGCGCCCCGCCUGGGGAGUACGGCCGCAAGGCUAAA